rnacentral:rRNA from 1 species
AGAGUUUGAUCAUGGCUCAGAACGAACGCUGGCGGCAGGCUUAACACAUGCAAGUCGAACGCGUGUAGCAAUACACGAGUGGCGCACGGGUGAGUAACGCGUGGAUAUCUGCCUUUUGGUUCGGAAUAACCCCGGGAAACUGGGGCUAAUACCGGAUGGUUCCUUCGGGAUAAAGAUUUAUCGCCAAAAGAUGAGUCCGCGUACGAUUAGCUAGUUGGUGAGGUAAUGGCUCACCAAGGCGACGAUCGUUAGCUGGUCUGAGAGGACGAUCAGCCACACUGGGACUGAGACACGGCCCAGACUCCUACGGGAGGCAGCAGUGGGGAAUAUUGGACAAUGGGGGCAACCCUGAUCCAGCCAUGCCGCGUGAGUGAUGAAGGCCUUCGGGUUGUAAAGCUCUUUUGGCGGGGACGAUGAUGACGGUACCCGCAGAAUAAGCCCCGGCUAACUUCGUGCCAGCCGCCGCGGUAAUACA